rnacentral:rRNA from 1 species
AGCGAACGCUGGCGGCAGGCUUAACACAUGCAAGUCGAGCGGGCACUUCGGUGUCAGCGGCAGACGGGUGAGUAACACGUGGGAACGUACCCUUCGGUUCGGAAUAACGCUGGGAAACUAGCGCUAAUACCGGAUACGCCCUUUUGGGGAAAGGUUUACUGCCGAAGGAUCGGCCCGCGUCUGAUUAGCUAGUUGGUGGGGUAAUGGCCUACCAAGGCGACGAUCAGUAGCUGGUCUGAGAGGAUGAUCAGCCACACUGGGACUGAGACACGGCCCAGACUCCUACGGGAGGCAGCAGUGGGGAAUAUUGGACAAUGGGCGCAAGCCUGAUCCAGCCAUGCCGCGUGAGUGAUGAAGGCCUUAGGGUUGUAAAGCUCUUUUGUCCGGGACGAUAAUGACGGUACCGGAAGAAUAAGCCCCGGCUAACUUCGU